rnacentral:rRNA from 1 species
UACAGAGGGGGCGAGCGUUGUUCGGAAUUACUGGGCGUAAAGGGCGCGUAGGCGGCCCGCUAAGUCGAACGUGAAAUCCCCAGGCUCAACCUGGGAACUGCGUCCGAUACUGGCAGGCUUGAAUCCGGGAGAGGGAUGCGGAAUUCCAGGUGUAGCGGUGAAAUGCGUAGAUAUCAGGAGGAACACCAAUGGCGAAGGCAGCUCGCUGGGACGGUACUGACGCUGAGACGCGAAAGCGUGGGGAGCAAACAGG